AUGAACGCUGGCGGCGUGCCUCAUCCAUGCAAGUAGAACGCUGAAGGAAGGAGCUUGCUCUUUCCGGAUGAGUUGCGAACGGGUGAGUAACGCGUAGGUAACCUGCCUGGUAGCGGGGGAUAACUAUUGGAAACGAUAGCUAAUACCGCAUAACAGUAGAUGUUGCAUGACAACUAUUUGAAAGGGGCAAUUGCUCCACUACCAGAUGGACCUGCGUUGUAUUAGCUAGUUGGUGAGGUAACGGCUCACCAAGGCGACGAUACAUAGCCGACCUGAGAGGGUGAUCGGCCACACUGGGACUGAGACACGGCCCAGACUCCUACGGGAGGCAGCAGUAGGGAAUCUUCGGCAAUGGACGGAAGUCUGACCGAGCAACGCCGCGUGAGUGAAGAGGGUUUUCGGAUCGUAAAGCUCUGUUGUAAGAGAAGAACGAGUGUGAGAGUGGAAAGUUCACACUGUGACGGUAGCUUACCAGAAAGGGACGGCUAACUACAUG
rnacentral:rRNA from 1 species